rnacentral:rRNA from 1 species
UAGGAGAGCAAAUCCGCCGAAUUUAAGCAUAUAAUUAAGCGGAAGAAAAGAAAAUAACAAUGAUUCCUUUAGUAACGGCGAGUGAACAAGGAAUAGCUCAAGCGGAUAAUCUGUGUGUCUUUUCCUAUUUAAAGGUUUAGCGCAAAGAAUUGUCGUGUAUUAAAAGACUAUAGUAACCUUCUGGUAGCCGUAAAGAUAAGACAUAUGUUACGAAGCGAGGUGGAAUGCCUCCCCCGAAGAGGGUGAAAGGCCCGUAGUAAUCAUAGGGCUUAGUGUUAUCAGAUAACCUCUAUCAGUAAAGAGUCGUGUUCUUUGAGAUUGGAGCACAAAUGCGUGUGAUACAUUUCACAUAAAGCUAAAUAUGUGUAGGAGACCGAUAGCAAACAAGUACCGUGAGGGAAAGAUGAAAUAGUACUCAGGAAUGAGCAAUUAAAAAGUACCUGAAAUCGUUAAGGUGGAACGGAUUAAAAGAGAAAAAAAGUAUUGCAGUCAACAUAAGUUGUUGCAGCGACAGUUUAUGUCUAACUGCUUUAUUAAAAGAAACAUCAGUAAAAGGUUUUAGAUCUAUUCGGAUAAAGACUGUUGCUGAUUAGCAUUUAAUUUUACCUUCGGGAUAAAAUUAAUAGACUUUUCACAUUAUCCUUUUGUUAAAAAAGGAUAAAAGGUUUUUAUAGAAAUCACGAAACAAAAAUAAGUGAUAGAUAGUCCAUUUUACUGAGGUCUCAAAAGGGGAAUUAUCUUAUUUGCUGAGGAAAAUCAAAAUUGCAUUGAUUUAUUUCUUUGCUGUUUGAGUUGUUCCUACAUGGUGCUUUCUUAACCCACUCGUCUUGAAACACGGACCAAGGAGUCUAGCAAAUGUGCAAGUGUGUAUGAUAUGUUAAACAUUUGGUACUUUGUUACCUUCUAUACGCACAAUUAAUGUAAUAUGUUAAUUAUUGUAGAACUGGCUGGAAGGCAACUUCCUGUCGGCGCAUACAAUACCGGUAAGCAAUUACGCUAUAUUGAGUAAGAGCAUAUUUGGUAGGACCCGAGAGGCUUUGAACUAAGCGUGACGAGAUUGAAGUCAGACGAAAGUCUGAUGGAAGAUCGAAUUGAUACUGACGUGCAAAUCGUUCAUUUCAGUCACGUUUAGGGGCGAAAGACUAAUCGAAAAGCCUAUUAGCUGGUUAUUUUCGAAAGAUCUCUCAGGAUCGCUGGAGUUGACUAAUAUAAUUUUACCAGGUAGAGAUAAUGAUUAGAGGAGAAAGACUAAUCGAAAAGCCUAUUAGCUGGUUAUUUUCGAAAGAUCUCUCAGGAUCGCUGGAGUUGAUUAAUAUAAUUUUACCAGGUAGAGAUAAUGAUUAGAGGACUCAGGGAAUUGAAUUUCCUUGACCUAUUCUCAAACUCCCAAUGGGUAAAAAGGGUUUAAAUAGCUUAAUUUCUUUUGUAUUUAGCUCGAUAUAAAUAAAAUAACUCCAAGUGGGCCAUUUUUGGUAAGCAGAACUGGCGAUGAGGGAUGCUCCUAACGUCUGGAUAAGGUGCCUAAAUAUUCGCUCAUCAGAUCCCAUAAAAGGUGUUGGUUCAUUAUGACAGUAGGACGGUGGUCAUGGAAGUCGAAAUCCGCUAAGGAGUGUGUAACAACUUACCUACCGAAUGAACUAGCCCUGAAAAUGGAUGGCGCUAAAGCGAAUUACCGAUACCAGGCCAUAAAAGGAAAGGAAAAAGGGUGGUUUUACCACCUUUUCUUCUUUAUAAAUCUUUUAUGAGUAGAAAAUCGUGGGGUUUUGUGUCGAAGCGAAAUACGUGAGUUUUCGUGGAACAUAUCCCUAGUGCAGAUCUUGGUGGAAGUAGCAACUAUUCAAAUGAGAACUUUGAAGACUGAAGUGGAGAAGGGUUUCUUGUCAACUGUGUUUGUACAAGAGUUAGCCGCUCCUAAGAGACAGCUGAAAAGUGUUUAAGUUAGGGCAAUGUUGUAGGUUUUUUAACAUAUGACAUAAUCCCUGUUCUCAAAAGGGAAACAGGUUUAUAUUCCUGUGCCAAAACAAAUCUAUGGGUUCCUAAAAAUUUAAGAUGGCAACAUAUAGACAAAUGAACCUCUUUACAUAGGUUUUACCAUCGGGGUGCGUUUUCUUUGCACUUUACCUUUAUAGCAUACCUUGGAAUCAUGCAGAUCUUGGUGGAAGUAGCAACUAUUCAAAUGAGAACUUUGAAGACUGAAGUGGAGAAGGGUUUCUUGUCAACUGUGAUUGGACAAGAGUUAGCCGCUCCUAAGGGAUAGCUGAAAAGUGUUUAUUUGGGGAAUGUUUUGUAAGAAAUAUGCAUUUCAUCCCCGUCUCGAAAGGGAAACAGGUUGAUAUUCCUGUGCCGAUAGUAUUUUGAGUGUAAUAGAGAUGGUAACAUAUAUACAAAUGAACUCCUUCACAUAGGUCUUACACUCGGGGUGCGUUUUCUUUGCACUUUACCUCUAUAGCAAACCUUGGAAUCAAUUUACUUGGAGAAGAGGUUCGCUGAAUCAAUUCAG